UACGUAGGGCGCAAGCGUUGUCCGGAAUUAUUGGGCGUAAAGAGCUACGUAGGUGGCUUGUCACGUCGGGUGUGAAAGCUUGGGGCUUAACUCCGGACGUGCAGUGGAAACUAUUGGGCUUGAGUGUAGUAGAGGUUGGUGGAAUUCCCAGUGUAGAGGUGAAAUUCGUAGAUAUUGGGAGGAACACCGGUGGCGAAGGCGGCCAAACUGGGCUACAACUGACGCUGAGGCGCGAAAAGCGUGGGG
rnacentral:rRNA from 1 species